AGGUACCUAUUUAUUUUGAGUUUUUUCUGUGUCAAACACAAAGGUUGAAUGUAUGGCUUAGCACUAACUUCAUGUGGGUUUUUCUGCUCAAGUUAUUUCAGUUAUAUGCCUCAGUUAAUACUUCGCAGGAUCUUGAGGAGUUCUUUUGUGUUGUAUUGAUUUGAAGGUGAAGCACAUUCCUCGGAUUUUGCUCUGUUGUCAUAGCACUUUCAGAUUUGAAGUUAUGUUUCCCAAGUAAGAAGUAGUAUCUUUGUGCUUUUAGCAAUGAGAAUAUUUGAGGAACUACCUAUUACAACAUCAUUUUCUAGGAAAAUUAGAUCAUAACAAGAGACGAUGAAUCAUUUAUUUUCUUUGUUGUGGGUAGGGUCAAAUUUUGAAUUACCAAGCUUUUGUAUGAUUUUGAUUGACCAGGCUUGCUUGCUGCUUGCUUGUCAAUCAAGCUAUGUUGGUGGAUUUUAGAGACAAACUUGUCUUAGAAUAAGACUAUCUAGAAGCAGCAAGGCAAAGACAUCCAUUGCAUUACUAACUGGGAUAAUUUUGACUUGUUAGCUACACCCUUUGGAUGGUCCUAAUUGUAGAAAAUUAUUAUAGACAAUCAACCCUUCAAAUUUCACCAUCAUGAAAGAAUCUAAAUAUAGUAUGUUUUCUUCUCUUACUUUUUUAUUAUACUCUUCUACUCUUAUAAUUCAUCAAAUGCUAACUAUUACUGUCACUUUAAUGCUCGGAACCCCUGGUUGAUAAUUUAUAGUGGGUCAGUUCUGUGUUGAUUUCUCUCAUGAUGAUUGAUGCUUUGUUACAUAGAUAGAAAAAAAUUGAGAAAUCAGAUGGAGAAGGAAUGGCACAACCGUGAAAAAUAAGUCAGAUGCUUGUUGAAAGAUAUAUACUGUGAGUUUCAUAUAUUUUGGUUCUAUAAGGAUUCAAUUUUUUAAGGAGGCCGGAGUGGAGAAGUAGAUGUGACAUAGAGAAACAUGACUAUGCAGGGGAAACGGUAAAUCACACUUUGACAAAUGUUUCUAUAGUCAUGUGUUAUUCUGUAGCCACUGAGCAAAUGCAUCGACAUACAUGUGUCAGAGACGCUGUAUGCUCUUUGAUUGUUGAUAAUUUUUUGUUUCUCGUGGACCUUGUUUGACUUUUGGAUGUGGUGUAAAUUCUAUGGGCUAAUAUGUCAAGCUUUCGAUGGUUCACUAUGUACGCUUGUUUGGUGAUUCAAUAUUUGUCAGUGUGGUAAUAAGCCACAUACGACACAAAUUCUUCUAUUUUGCCGAACACAUCCUCUUGAAGUACAAGAUAUUUUUAUAACCAUGUCUACAACUCUUGAUCUCUAUGCCUAAAUUUAUUGUUUGGUGCCAUUGUGACCAAUAUCCCUUAAGCUAUACGAGCUUUGAUUGAGAACAUGGAGAUACAUUUUGUCUUACUCGUGAUGAUAAGUAUGUAUGUCGACUAUUUUAUGGCCGAGUGCUUUUAGCAGUGGGCUUGUUAGGGCAAUGAAGGACGGUUCUGGACCUUCUCCUCAACCAACGUUGACGGAGAGCAAUGAGUUGACUGUGUUUGCUGAUGACGGCGAUAAAACUGGCAAG
rnacentral:lncRNA from 1 species